rnacentral:rRNA from 1 species
GAUCCUGGCUCAGGAUGAACGCUGGCGGCGCGCUUAACACAUGCAAGUCGAACGGUUAAACACCCUUCGGGGUGCGCAUAAAGUGGCGAACGGCUGAGUAACACGUGGGCAACCUGCCCCCCGCACCGGGAUAGCCUCGGGAAACCGUGGGUAAUACCGGAUACUCCGCCCCCCUCGCAUGGGAGGGGCGGGAAAGCGUACACGGCGGGGGAUGGGCCCGCGGCCUGUUAGCUCGUUGGCGGGGUAACGGCCCACCAAGGCGAUUAUGGGUAGCCGGGUUGAGAGACCGACCGGCCAGAUUGGGACUGAGACACGGCCCAGACUCCUACGGGAGGCAGCAGUGGGGAAUCUUGCACAAUGGGCGAAAGCCUGAUGCCAGCGACGCCGCGUGCGGGAAGAAGGCCCUCGGGUUGUAAACCGCUUUCAGCAGGGACGAGGCGCAAGUGACGGUACCUGCAGAAGAAGCCCCGGCUAACUACGUGCCAGCCGCUGC